CAAAAGUUUAAGUGCAAGCAC
rnacentral:miRNA from 1 species